UGGACCAGAAGAAGCAGCAGGGACAGGACCAGGGGAAGCAGCAGGGACAGGAGCAGGAGAAGGAGCACUCAGCCAAGCCCCUGCUGCCCAGCACAGCCCCCUUCCUGAGAUGGAGGCCUCAGGUGAAUACAUCUGCCAACUUGCUGAUGUUAUUGUGCUCUGAAGGUAAAUUAUGUGCUAACUCAUUCAUGCUAGUGCACUAACCCUGAAGAUGAUUAUCUCUAUAUACGCUAAUGCUAAUACACACUAAUGCUAGUAAGCUAACCCAGAAAGUGAAUAUCUCUGCUAACCCACCUAUACUAGUAUGCUAACCCUGCACGUUAACAUAUCAGCUAACCUAGUUUGCUAACCUUGAACUUGAAUAUCUAUGUUAAAUCACUGAUGCUAGUGCUCUCGAAUAGCCCAGCUAACUCACUGAUGCUAGUCCAUUAACCCUGAGAGUGAAUAGCUCUUUUAACACACUGAUACUAACACACAAACUCUGGUGAUGGCUAGCUCAGCUAACAGACUGAUGCUAAUUUACUAACCUUGCCUUCUCAAAUAAGAUGUGCCUCAGCAUGUACAGAGAUUCAGGGUUGAAGAGGAGCCGAAAGACCCCAUCACACAGUGUCCAUUAUCUGGCAGUUUUUAUUUCAUUGGUUAAUGAACCUCAAAACCUUUGAAUAUCAUUUUCUUAUCAUUGAUGUCUAUGAACUAAAUAUGCUUAGAUAUAAAUAUGGAACAGUUCUAAGCUUCAGGAAUGUCUCUUUGGUUUGGUCAAACUUGCCCGAGUGUAUGUAGAGUUGGCUUGGGUACCACAUGGUGCAGAUUGACUGGCUUUCAGUUCACCGCUCAGAAAGAGCCUUUAAUGGUCUGGGACUGCUGCCUUCUGGGACUAGUGCAUUGUGAAGGUUCAGGAAAGACCUGUCUGGUUCAGUGUAAAGACCUGCCUGGUUCAGUGGAAAGACCUGCCUGGUUCAGUGUAAAGUUUCUGGAAGGAGCAGUGUGGCUAAAUGCAGUGUCAGGUGGCACUAGCACAACUAAGUUAAGUGUAAAGUUUCAGGUGAAGUGUAAAGUUUCCUAAUGCAGCUUGGUUUAAGUUUCUAGAAAAAAAGUAGUGUGGUUUGGUGUAAAGUCUGUGUGCAGACAGACCUCAGUGCUUGUAAAGUUUGUAAAAUAGGAACCUCUGGUUCGAAGAGCCGCAUCCCUUGUAAAAAAACAGUGGUUCUCAUCCUGGGGGUUACCAGAUUGUGUAAAAAAACAAAAAAACAAAAAAACUAUUUAAAUGUGCCACCAACUCAUUCAAAUGUCACUCAACAACCAUAGGAUGAUAUCAGAUGUGCAGUGGUCUCUUACAUUUUUCCAGAGCUGUAUAUAUCUUCAUUAAACCAUCACUUAACAUACAUUUUGUAUUAUAUUACCAUUACUAACACUAACAUAUAUAAAAGCAUUGUUGUUCACAGUUGGCAGUCUGACCUUAGCUUAGCAUCAACAGCAUGAAUUGGCAAUGCAGGGCUAAUAAUGUUAUGUUGUGGUACAUAACUCUGUGGCUGUGUUGCUCUAUUAGCUGGGUGCUGUUGUUUAUGGUCCAAGACUAAAAUGGAAGCCAUAAUUCUCUCUGUGAGCAGAACAGUACAGGAGGUAUGUAGGUGCAAGGGUACAGGAGGUUUGCAGGGGGUAUGUAGGUGCAAGGGUACAGUGAUAUGUAGGUGCAAGGGUACAGGGGGUAUGUAGGUGCAAGGGGAAGUACAGGGGUAUGUAGGUGCAAGGUGGGGUGAUUGUUCUGGGAGGUCACAAUCACUGUCCUAUAGCACAGUAUAGACAGUGUAUAUAUUAUACACACACACACACACACCUAGGUUCUUCAAGAUAGCUGUUUGCCUGUCCCAUUGUAGUAGUGUAGUGUAAUUCUCUCUCACCCAUGAGAACUGGCCUCUGCAGACAUAGUUACAUGUUUGUGAGUCUGACUGGAUCUUCAUCAACACCAUCAUCAUUAUCAGCUUCAUCCCAGACUCACUGAAAGAUGCAGUCCGCCAUUUUAAUACUCCAGCUGUAUGUUCCAUUUUCUGUGCUAAAAGAACCUUCAGCCGUCUGUUCUGUGUCCCAUACUAAAAGAACCUCCAUUUGUCUGUUCCGUGUUAUGUGCUAAAAGAACCUCCAGUAUUCAUACCCAGUCCUGGCUCAGUCCAACCAUAAACAAUCCCAGCCAAUCAAUACACACUUCUGGAACAUAGAAGUGAGGAGUGUAAUCUGAUUGGUUGUUGAAUUGCCAUGUGCACACUCAUGUCUCAGACUGCCUCUAAUGAGUAAAAUGUUUAACUCUAUUUUAGACUUACGUGGCAAUUUUAAUGUAUUAAAUUAUCAAGUUUACAUAUUAUUUGUUUGCUUGUACAGAUACGUUGUGAUUUCUUAUUUAUAUCCUCUGUUCUGUGAUUCAUGUUUGGUGAUGUUUUGAGAUGUGCUACCCCAUGUAUCCGCCCUGUCAGUUAGUGCUCACCAGGGGGCGCCACAGGACCUAUUUAUCAUCACCAGCUGAGCAAUACUGUAAUGCCUGUGUGCUCUGAACUGUGUAAGAACUACUAGACUGUGUGUGUGUGUGUGUGUGUUUGUGUUUGUUUGUGUGUAUGUGUGUGUGCCUGUAUGUGUGUGUGUGUGUUUCUGUAACCAAACCCCUGCCCCCCACCCAUACAUCACACAUCUCAACAUCCAACACAUAUCUUGAAGGUCACACACACACUGUUACAUUCUGCCUACUAGGCUAUGUAACCAGAGAGGGAAGACCACACGGAUUUUGCCGUAUACAAAUAUGUAUUUAUUUAAGUUAAAGAAUUAACAACGUAGGUUAAGUAAAGUCAGUAUAAAUGAUAGGUUGGGAAAUAAAGGUGUAUGAGAAUUGAGGUGUCGUGCGUAAAGAAACAAAUAGCCAAAAUGGUGCGGGAGAGGAGGACAAUCACAUGCGCGUCGCAUCACACCUGUGGCACACCUGUACUUGGCCCACCUGUAGAGGAGACGCAAGACAGGAAAAGAGCAACAAGGAGGAGGAGCCCGGCAGGUCCGUGACACACACACACUCACCCAUACAUCACACAUCUCAACAUCCAACAGCUAUCUAGAAGGUCACACACACACACACCCAUACAUCACACAUCUCAACAUCCAACACAUAUCUAGAAGGUCACACACACACACACAGACAUCACACAUCUCAACAUCCAACAGCUAUCUAGAAGGUCACACACACACACACCCAUACAUCACACAUCUCAACAUCGAACAUAUCUAGAAGGUCACACACACACACAUACAUCACACAUCUCAACAUCCAACACAUAUCUAGAAGGUCACACCCACACACACUCACCCAUACAUCACACAUCUCAACAUCCAACACACAUCUAGAAGGUCACACACACACACACACACACAUACAUCACACAUCUCAACAUCCAACACAUAUCUAGAAGGUCACACACACACACACACCCAUACAUCACACAUCUCAACAUCCAACACAUAUCUAGAAGGUCACACACACACUCCCUUUCUCCUCUGUGCUCUCUAUAUUUGUUUGACUGAUGACUCAUUUCAGUUAAAUGAUGUAAAACGGUUUAUUUCUGUUCAGAUGCAUAUUUGUAUUCAUGGCUUAAUAGAAAGUUACUGUUUUAAGAAAAGGAUGUUUUAAAGUUUUUACAGCAUUCUUAUUUGUUGUGACGACCGCAUACAAUACUGUGUAAAGCACUCAAAGCAAUGCUUUUCUAAUGCGCACUGAUCCUUCAACAUAGAGUUCCCUUCAGCAUAGAGUUCCCUCCCAGCACACUGACCCUUCAGCAUAGAGUUCCCUCCCAGCACACUGACCCUUCAGCAUAGAGUUCCCUCCAGCAUCUGUGGCCGUAGGGGAGUGUGAGCCGCCAGACUCCACACACUCUUCACACACUCCUGUAAGACUUGCACAGGUCCACACACUCCUGUUCUACUCUGUGCUUCUAACCCCUGAUUUGAUGGGAAUAAAGGGAAACUGCUGAAUGA